CUCCUGGCUUCCUCUGUGUCUGCUGGGCCGAUGAACUCACGCCAAGCUGGGACAACAUUGGCAGAACCUUCGGCCUGAGACAGCACCAGGAUGUGGGAGGGACCACUGGACAUGAACUGUACCAGCUCCUCAAAAGGCCCAGCCUGAAGACUUGACUUCCAGAUACUGCACAAGGAACAAGUUGCCAACAUCUCCUCCCACUGCUCUUGGUUCGUGACAGACACCUGGAGGAGGAAAUCACAGGAUAACGAAGAAAUGAAAACACAGCAAGCAGAGGAGUGAGUUGUCUCCUUCUCUGAUGGGGACCUCGACCUCCAAAACUCUGCCUGAUUUUGGUGGAUGGAUCCCCAGGAUGCUGAGUCACAUUAUUAGGUAUAUGUAUAAUAUACAGUGGUGUAGAACAUAUUUACAGUUUUUUUUUAGCUUUGACUUCUUAAAUCAUUCCACCCACUACUCUACACUAACAUGCAAACUGAGCAGUGAUUGACGUUAAGAAGCAGCACAUUUUUCUCACUUCCAUUUAAAUGCCCAUUUCAUUUACAUUCAUGCAGUCUGUGGUCAUAGCCAUGUGUCAUCUGUACAACGUUCACACUCACACGUUCCUUCUCAGUACUGUAAGUGUGGACGCCGCAGGGAGGAUUCGUCCAACUGUACCAUUACACCUUUACCCACCAAAGUGAUCAAACCACUUGUGAAUGUUCUUCCCCAAUCCAUAUCAAUGAGCUGCUGCUCUUCAGUGGUUUCAGCUCCAUAGCAACCACGCUCAGAGUGGGCCCUGAAAAGCAAGUUGCACAAUUAGAGCAAUUUCCAGGAGAGUCAUAUCACAGUCCUCUGUGACAGUAAGAGAGGAGAAAAUUAUAAUAUAAAAAUUUUUGAAAAAAAAAAACCCUUAGAGUGGAUUUUUGCCUUCCACAACAGCUUCACAUUUUGUUUUUCCUCACACAGCUGCAGAUACUGUAUAUUACAGUAUGUAACUAUUAAGAAAACCUGUGUUUCAUUGUGAGGUUUUUAUGCAGCCAGAUGGAAACAUUGUUUUCCCUUUGUCACGACUGCUGUGAUGAGGUCCUGACACGAACCUUUUAGCAGAGAAAUAACAUUCAUACUGUGAUUGCAGAACAUGUGGUGCUGCAAAUUGUGCUCAACAGUGAUUGCUUUUGUUCUGUCAACACAUACAGAAACUGGAUGGAUGCUUUGGGCACAGGUAGGCAAUUCUUUAACGCAUAACUGAACAUAAUUAAAGUAAUGACAUCCAGAUGUAGGUAUUUCUCCAUCAUUAAAUUCCUCAUUUGCAUUUGCAUUUUUUUGCAGUCAAAGAUGGAGUUGAUCAAAAUACUUUGAAUAACAUGUCAGUUUUACACACGGUGUGAGAAAUCAGUUUCUUCAACCAAGUUUCUUCAGGUUUUUUUGUGUGAAACCUUUUUUAUGAAAAAAGGUUUUUGGGGUAGCUCCUCCCCCUACUAUAAUUGUAAAGUCUGAUCAACUCAUCAGAGGUACCAUCUGUCUCAGAUCCAGAUCAUCUUCAUAUUUUACUGUCAAAGUUCUGUUUCAUAAUCAUCACAAAAUCAAAACGAGUAAAUGAUUUACCUUCACUGAGGCUAGGUUGAUUUUAAAGCCAGGGUCAGACACUGGCACGAGGGUUAAUGUCUUCUAUGUUCUCAGCAGGUCGUCAGUCCUUCAGUCCUCACGUCAGACUUCUUCCUCUUCCCUGGUGAGUCACCGUUAAUCUCACUUCCAUCAGGGAGGCACAGAGGAUUUGGAUCCUGACGGAGUUGAAGAUUAAUCUUCAUUAGUGCAUCUUAAGCACAAAAGUCAUAUUUAAGCCCCAUUAAUGUCGACAUUUGUUGUGUUUAAUUUUGAAUAAACACAUUUUUGAAAUCGUAAGAUCGUGCAGGCCCAAAGGAUUUCAAUCUAAUUAUCCACAAACUAACAGAGAGAGAGAGAACACAGUGUGCAUCUGAUAUACCCUGUCUUCAAGGAACAGAAAAUGUUCCCUGUUUAACAAGGGGGCGCUGUUGCCUCAUCAGUAACACACACACUGCUCUGAGGUUUUUUAGGGCAGGAAAGCCCUGUGCUCUCAAUAUGCUGGUAUUUUUUAUCAGCUGCUCCAGGCCUUAAACUUAUCAUGUUAGCUAUAUAACAAUUGAAUAUAGAAUAGCCUCAUUUUUUGUGGGUAUUUUUGUAAAAAAAAACAGUCAGGGUUUUUAUAGGUGAGUGCGAAUGCUAUUCCAUCUGGUUUCUACUCCAGGCUGUGUUUAGAACGACUGCUGUGCUGCUUUUUCUGAUACAGUGCUGGAUGAAAUGGUAAUCCUCCCCCUGCCCCCCGAGCCUUUAAGACAAACCUGACCCUGUAUGUUCACACAUCAGUCCAGAGGAGAAAUGGUUUGUUCCAUAUUUGCUGUGACAAUGACUAUUUUAUACAGUCAGUGUCAUUUAUCUGCAGCCCUGUGACUGUCAGUCCGUAUGAAGCUUUCUUCUCAUGUCAGACUGGCAGCUGUAAUGGUGACAGAGGAAGCCAGCACUGACAGAGUCAUCUGCAUCUAAAUAAAGACCGCCAGUGGCUUUGUCACAGUCCAUUAGGCAAAUUUCCGUAUUUGAUAAAAGCAUCAACCAUGUUUUUUUUUUUUAACCAUCCAUUUGAUAUGAAAUCACCAUGAAGCAAAUGUAGUUUGGCUUUUGUUUGCUUUCCAAAACAUGCAGUGAGCCAUGAAUGAAAAAAGAAAAUCCACUAAGAUAUCAUUUUGAUGCUUAUUGUGAUUGAUUAGUGGCAUUUUUGGUGCAACACAUGGGUUAAUUCACAUCAGGUGCACCAAGAAAGAAAAUCACACUGGGCUGAAAAUGAGGUUGAAAAUGUGUAAUUUCUUAUGCUUGUUGCAGCAGACUGCUUGAAUAAUGAAGUGUUUUUUUUUUUUUUUCAAGUCUGUGUUUUUCUGCUGUCAAUUCCAGCUCCAGAGAGUUGUCUUUUUAGUUGUUUUAAAACUCUGGCAUGAAGAUUGGAGAAAAACACCCGUCACCUUCUGAGACCCUUACAGAUUACACAAUGAUGAGAAAAAGGGCAGGACAAGGAAGUGGGUCAAGGAAGGAGCAGUGGAGUACUGAUAGGGUCAACGAUCUUGAUGUCAGUGAGAGAGCGGACCACAGAAUCAGGCUGAGAGGUCAAGUAACUCACAGUAUGUGAUAGGAUGUGUACAGGAUCAAAGAAGUGUCCUCAAUAACUGGCGUUCCACUUACUGGACUGUUCUGACUCCUUGGCUUCUGUACAGUUGUGAUUGCGAUGCCACUGACAUGAGAAAGAUGGAGGCCGACCCACACGGUGGAGGAAAUGCAGAGAACCUGGACCUCGACCUGGUGAUCGACCUUGGCCCAAGGCAGGUCGGGAACAUUACGACUGACGGGAAGUGCGGAGUGCUGUGAUGAGAGGUGAUAUUUCUCUGUGGAAACAUGAGAUGAUAAGGACGUUCUGCUGAUGAUCUAAACCAUUGUUUCCCAAAGACUGGGUCGCAACCCUCAGUGUAGCAGGAGACGCUGGAGUGAAACCCUGCAGCCACCGUGGAGCAGAAACAGAGAACACCCUGCAGAGGUCGCCAGCCACAUCAGAACAACCAUUCACACUCAUACAGAGGUCUUGAUGUAAACUUGGAAUCUGUUCAGCGAAAAGCAGGCGAUAGUGAGAGGAUGACGAGCUACAGACGAUGGAAGAAACCUUAGCCCAGAGCAGGAAGUGUGCUCUGCUGGUGUUGGUGUUACCCCCCCUCCCGCCUCCUGCUAGGCUCCUUCAUGGUCCAGAUGAGGCCUAGGUGGCAGCCCUAGGCUCCAUCCAUCAUGACUUAUCAGCAGCUGCUGUCUGGAGGUCGACUUUGACAUUUUCUCCUCUUCAGCAUAGGUCAACCACAGAAGACGGUUACUCUUCUACAAUGGUGAUGGACAGAAGAAGGGGGACAGGAGGUAAACAGACGGACCACUGACAACUGUGUCACCAUCACCGAACGUUUGGCUCCGGAUUUGACCUCCGUCCUUUCACUGUCACUCCUAUGCCACUCACCCUGCAGCCUCGUCGGUCCCUUUGGUGUAAGAUUGACACAGCCAGGACGAGUUUCUAAAAAAAACAAGCCUCUAAAAUAUGCUUAUAUGAUUAAGAUCCCUGAUCAUUUCUCAAUUCUCUGCCACCUCUCAGUAAAAGCCCUGUGAAGAGGAGAGAACUAGUCAGCACUUCAUGGCCCAUCUGUCAUUUUCAGUCUCCCAUCAGUAGUCAACCCUGUGGACUAACAGAGAUUAUACUGAGGCCAUGACACAUGGAUUUCUCUGACACGUACUGCCUUGACCAACAAAGAGCUGGAAGAAAAGUCGAAGGGCAGAGGCUCCUACGGUAACGCAGCCUCAUGAAUGCCAAUGAAGUGCCAUGAAACAGCAGGAGGAAAACAAACAAACAAACAAGACGGUGUUGAUGUUUAAAGCAAACAAUAUGAAAGUUUCAAAAGGCUUUGUUGCACGUCUCUGUCAUCCCCUCCUCUCUGAAGUGUAACCCAGUGAAAGAAACUCCAAGGCUGAAAUGAAAUCCACGGCAGCAGCUGGGAAACGUGCUGGUAAUUUACACAUUCAUCUAUUUUGAGCCCUGGCACCGUUUGCAGGAGUGUGAUGAAGCCCACUGCAAGUUAGUAGGUCAGUAGUUGAACACUGAUGAGAUGCUGCUGCCUGUUUGUUUUCACACCAUCCCUGAAAAUUAAAACAUCACGUAGAGGUAAAAAGCAGCUACAGGAGGAUUAUGGUAUAAAAACGAAACGUGUCAUCAAGAACUUUUAGCAUGAAGGGGUGUAAAAAAAAUCUAAUAAUUUAAAGGGCACAUAACUUGCAAAAUUGACUUUAUCAGGGUUGUGGCACAGAUAUUUGGGUCUAUGGAGGUUCAACCCAUGUGUCAAACUCAAGUCCCGCAGACCAAAUGUGACCCACGAAUCAACCUGUGUGGCCUGCGGGAGAUUAAAAAGCGUUUAAUUGCCUUAUAAUAAAGUCUGUGCUCCUUCAGAGCUUAUAUUGAACAUAAAUCACAACUACAACAAUGCAUUUCAUGAUGAUAAGAAAUCUAUGAGCAGAGAUGUGUGUUUAAGGACAGGCAGCAUCACCUCCUCAACUUUACCCAAACCCAACAGUUAUGAAUGGAGAAAUCGGUGUUUGUUUUGUGAUUUUUGUAAUUUCCCUGAAGUUUGAAGGUUUGAUUUGAAUGUUUGAAUAUUUGUUACCUAUGAAGGUAGAGUCUACCUCUCUGCAAUCUUUUAAAUAAUGUAUUACUCGCCUUUCCCAAUUAUAGAGGAUAGAUCUGAGAUAUUAACUGGACUUAAGAAAACAUUGACAAUAAAAUAAGAAAAAACCAUCAUAUCAUUGAAACAAAAUGUCAUACCUGUGAAAACAAUCACAGGAAAAAUGAAAAAUUGUAAAAAAAAAGAAGAUCCAAU